GAAUGAGCAGCAUAGAUCUGGGAUUUCAAAAGGUAGACUAGAAGGCAUGGUUCGAUUGUUUACAGCGGAAACAAAUCACUCUUGUUGAUAAUGAUGGUGUCAAGUUAAAGUUUCUCUUGUGGGGAGAGCAGGUUCUCCUUGCGAAUCUUUUCAGUGUAGGAAGUAUGCUUGCACUGGAUAGACCUUUCAUUGCAAAUGUUAUAGACAGUGAUAUGCAAACAAAUGCUGAAAUCUGUCUUGAAUAUGGUAGUGCCACGCAGUUAUAUUUGGUCCCCUUUAUUCAACAUGAAGAGCAGGUACUUGUAGCAUCCACACCAAAUUGGUGUCAAGGAUCAAGGCUGUUGAAUGGAUUGAGUCAAAGUCAGGGUCCUAAAGUUUCUCAAGUGGCAUUGCCCUGCAAUUCUGAAGGUUCUAUUGACUUCAGUAAUUAUCCUUUCAGAAUUAGUAUACCAUCAUCCUCAUUUUGGAAACUUUACUUUUUUCAAUGAUGUUUACAUUUUGCCUUUUCUUUUUACUAGGUUGCAAACCUUUUAUUUCUGUUAUGCUAAAAAAAAACAAAGAACUAGGGCUUUGGAGAUUGUUUGCUUAUGCUUGUCAAGAGCAAGCAAUUUACUUAACACACACAUUGGCCUUAGUGAAGCAAGGUUCUCGAAGUCCAUUAAUGAGUUCAGAUGUAAAAGAAUUGGAAAAAAGUGAACCUAUCCCUGUCAACUAACUGUCAAAAGAGCAAGAUGCUGGCUUCCAAGAAUCACUGCCAGUCUACUUCAUGGAGUCACAUGUGGCUGCAAAACCACAGUUAUCAACACAUUGCAGAAUUCAG